rnacentral:lncRNA from 1 species
CUGAACCACAUUUGUGGUGAUGAAAGGUUUGGUCAGAAAAGGAGGCUGGGGUAAAACAGCAUCUAUUCUGUCAUUUGAAGAAUGGGAAGGAUUUUGCUAGAACAAGAGAGGGUGGGAAAAUAAGAAAGGAAAAUAGAACAUUUUAGGGAAAGGGAAUAGUGUGUGCAAAGAUGAAGAAGUAUAAAAGAAAAUGUAGCUUAUUCCAGAAACUGCUAAAAGGAUCAAUAUGGUGAGAAUAUCACAGUAGCUGUCGUGUCAUGAGAGAGCCACAAUUCUUCAAACAUAUUUAACUGCUGGAGAGAAUGGCUCAGAAUCCCAGGUAUCAGCUUCAGCACACAGAUAAAAUAUAAGAAAGAAUUUGAGGUUGAUGUCAGAAGCAUUUCCAACAGGGCUAAGGAAGUAUUUUUUUGGAAGGUGAG